UACGUAGGGGGCGAGCGUUGUCCGGAUUUAUUGGGCGUAAAGAGCUCGUAGGCGGUUUGGCAAGUCGGGUGUGAAAACUCCGGCUCAACUCGGAGACGCCACUCGAUACUGCCAUGACUCGAGUCCGGUAGGGGAGUGCGGAAUUCCUGGUGUAGCGGUGAAAUGCGCAGAUAUCGGGAGGAACACCAACGGCGAAGGCAGCUCUCUGGGACGUUACUGGACGCUGAGACGCGAAAGCGUGGGGAGCAAACA
rnacentral:rRNA from 1 species